UUUUUUUUUCUCUCUGUCGUGUUUGUUGUAGAAGCCCAUCCUACUGGACUCCUUCUCCCAGCACGCACAAGCGCAUUCAUUAUAUGGAGUACACAAUGACUGCCUCUGUCAAAGGAUCAGCAUGACCUAACUGGCACGUUUCAAUAAUACUAGAGACUCCUGGAUUCCCUACCUCAGGAAAAUUGGGCUCCCUGCAGCUUCUCUCAGUACGCAGUGUGGCAGAGAAAGGAGAAGGCGUGGGCAGAAGCUGACAGGGUCCUCUGGCGGCAGUACGGUUGGAGAAAGAGAC